CGACUGAGUGGCGGACGGGUGAGUAACGCGUGGGCAACCUGCCCCAUACAGGGGGAUAACAGUUAGAAAUGACUGCUAACACCGCAUAAGCGCACAGGGCCGCAUGGCCCGGUGUGAAAAACUCCGGUGGUAUGGGAUGGGCCCGCGUCUGAUUAGCCAGUUGGCGGGGUAACGGCCCACCAAAGCGACGAUCAGUAGCCGACCUGAGAGGGUGACCGGCCACAUUGGGACUGAGACACGGCCCAAACUCCUACGGGAGGCAGCAG
rnacentral:rRNA from 1 species